AGGACGAACGCUGGCGGCGUGCUUAACACAUGCAAGUCGAGCGGAAAGGCCCUUCGGGGUACUCGAGCGGCGAACGGGUGAGUAACACGUGAGUAAUCUGCCCCUAGCUCUGGGAUAGCUCCGGGAAACCGGGAUUAAUACCAGAUAUGACCACUUUAGACAUCUGCUGUGGUGGAAAGAAUUUCGGCUAGGGAUGAGCUCGCGGCCUAUCAGCUUGUUGGUGGGUAACGGCCUACCAAGGCGACGACGGGUA
rnacentral:rRNA from 1 species